CACGUGGGUAACCUGCCCAAGAGAUCGGGAUAACACCUGGAAACAGAUGCUAAUACCGGAUAACAACAGAUGAUGCCUAUCAACUGUUUAAAAGAUGGUUCUGCUAUCACUCUUGGAUGGACCUGCGGUGCAUUAGCUAGUUGGUAGGGUAACGGCCUACCAAGGCGAUGAUGCAUAGCCGAGUUGAGAGACUGGUCGGCCACAUUGGGACUGAGACACGGCCCAAACUCCUACGGGAGGCAGCAGGC
rnacentral:rRNA from 1 species